ACGGGAGGCAGCAGUGAGGAAUAUUGGUCAAUGGGCGAGAGCCUGAACCAGCCAUGUCGCGUGCAGGAAUACGGCCCUAUGGGUUUUAAACUGCUUUUGCCUGGGGAUAAAGUGGCGGACUUGUCCGUUAUUGCAGGUACCAGGCGAAUAAGGAUCGGCUAACUCCGUGCCAGCAGCCGCGGUAAUACGGAGGAUCCGAGCGUUAUCCGGAUUUAUUGGGUUUAAAGGGUGCGUAGGCUGUUCGUCAAGUCAGCGGUGAAAUGCCGGGGCUCAACCCCGGAGCUGCCGUUGAUACUGUCGGGCUUGAAUACUGUUGCCGUGGGAGGAAUGAGUAGUGUAGCGGUGAAAUGCAUAGAUAUUACUCAGAACACCGAUUGCGAAGGCAUCUCACGAAGCAGCGAUUGACGCUGAGGCACGAAAGCGUGGGGAUCAAACAGGAUUAGAUACCCUGGUA
rnacentral:rRNA from 1 species